AGAAAACACCCAUCUAGACCAAUUAAUGGUCUACAAGUAGUUGCAAAUGCCCUCUUGCAAGCGUAAAAGCACACAUAUAUUCUCUGGAAAACAGGACCAACAUCACUAUCUUUACACUUAAUCAAAACACUACUACCAGGAUUGCUCCUCAACAAUUCCUCAGCAUAGUUUCUCAGAUGCGCAUAUUGCUCAUCUAUGCCACCAUGGAUAAGUUCUAAAGCCUUCUUCUUAGCCCUAUAUAAUUGAUAGCUACUUAACAUCACCC
rnacentral:lncRNA from 1 species